rnacentral:misc_RNA from 1 species
AACAAGGCGUACCUGCGGACCUGCGGAAGGAUCAUUACUGAAUUAAUCAAAGUGAUUGAUUGUGCUGGCAGAUUUUUUUUGCAAGUGCACGUCAGUUACUUAUUAAUCCAUUACACACCUGUGAACCUUUGACUUUUCUUUUUUUUUAACUCUCAGCCUCUUAUGUGGCAGCAGGAUUAUGUUCUUUAUUGAACUUUAUCCUUGAGAGAAGGAAAAAAAAAAAGUAUUUUAUUCUACACU